AUUGACCGCUGGCGGCAGGCCUAACACAUGCACGUCGAGCGAGCGGCGGACGGGUGUGUAAUGCAUGGGAAUUGCCCAGUCGAGGGGGAUAACAGUUGGAAACGACUGCUAAUACCGCAUACGAUUGGAUUGCCCAGGUGGGAUUAGCUAGUGGGUGAGGUAAUGGCUCACCAAGGCGACGAUCCCUAGCUGGUCUGAGAGGAUGAUCAGCCACACUGGAACUGAGACACGGUCCAGACUCCUACGGGAGGCAGCAGUGGGGAAUAUUGCACAAUGGGGGAAACCCUGAUGCAGCCAUGCCGCGUGUGUGAAGAAGGCCUUCGGGUUGUAAAGCACUUUAAGUUGGGAGGCGUUACCAACAGAAUAAGCACCGGCUAACUUCGUGCCAGCAGCCGCGGUAAUAC
rnacentral:rRNA from 1 species